UACAGAGGGUGCGAGCGUUAAUCGGAAUUACUGGGCGUAAAGCGUGCGUAGACGGUUAUUUAAGUCGGGUGUGAAAGCCCCGGGCUCAACCUGGGAAUUGCAUUCGAGACUGAAUAGCUAGGGUACGGUAGAGGGAAGCGGAAUUUCCGGUGUAGCGGUGAAAUGCGUAGAGAUGUGGAGGAACACCGAUGGCGAAGGCAGCCUCCUGGGCCAACACUGACGCUCAUGCACGAAAGCGUGGGGAGCAAACAGG
rnacentral:rRNA from 1 species